UCCCACCCUGCAACUGAAAAGUGACCAAGAUUGAUCGAAUAGAGAUGCUAUCGUUUCACUCAUGUGGAUGUUGCCGCGUUUCAACAUCCACUGCGUUCCAUUUCCAGUUUCGUACCUUACCUUCUUCUUCACUCUUUUUCUAUGCUACAAGCUAUAAAUUUCGUUCUACCACAGCGAGCGCUGGUUCUGGUUUCACCGGAGGCUCAGACUCCGAUGGAGAUAGAAAAUUGAACUUCUCCGGUGUGCGGUUGGAGGAGGCUGUCGAUAGCGCAAUAGGAUCUGCAAAACUAAGACUGGAUAGUUGGAUCUCUUCCCGCAUCAACGGCAUUAGUAGAGCACGCGUUCAAUCAAGUAUCAAAUCGGGACUCGUUCAUGUUAAUGGUCGUGUCGUUGAUAAGGCUUCUUUCAACGUCAAAGCUGGGGAUCAGAUCAAAUGCACAAUCGCGGAGUUGCAGAAAUUGAGGGCUGUGCCAGAAAAUAUACCUUUGGAUAUAGUUUAUGAAGAUGAGCAUGUUCUAGUCAUAAAUAAACCUGCACACAUGGUUGUGCAUCCAGCUCCUGGAAAUACAUCGGGGACGCUUGUCAAUGGCAUUCUUCACCAUUUCAAUCUUCCAAAUGUUGAAUUUUCUAAAGACGAAUCUCUUUCAGAUACAGAAGAUUCUGAUGACGAGGUUAAUAGCUAUGGCUCCAUGACAAGUUCUUAUGAAGGAUCACAUUCUAUAUUGUCUAUGUCAUCAAUUCGCCCAGGGAUUGUACACAGAUUGGACAAAGGCACAAGUGGGUUACUUGUUGUUGCAAAGGAUGAGCAUUCACAUAUGAAAUUAUCCGAGCAAUUUAAGCAACGCACCAUCAAGAGGGUUUAUGUUAGUCUCACUGCUGGGGUACCCACUCCGGUUUCUGGGCGAGUUGAGGUUCCAGUUGGCCGUGAUCUUAAUAACCGGUUGCGUAUGACUGCUGUAGCUGGACCAGCCAAUUCUAGAAAUGCCCGUCAUGCUGCUAGUAGGUACAGAGUAAUUGAGAUACUUGCUGGGGGAAGUUGUUCAUUGGUUGAGUGGAAGUUGGAAACUGGACGCACUCAUCAGAUCCGUGCUCAUGCUAAGUAUUUGGGAGUUCCUUUACUCGGUGAUGAGGUGUAUGGAGGGACAAAAAGCAUGGUCUUGUCACUACUAAGGCCCCGAACUCCCAUCAGUUUGCAUGGAAAAAUUGUACAAAUGGUUUCUAGGCUAGAUAGGCCUUGCCUUCAUGCUUUGACACUCGGCAUCCCUAUACAGGGGAGCAGGUGCACUUUUCAUGUGAACCCCCUGUAGACUUCGAUGAGAUUUUGAGCCAGCUUCGUAGAAUUGGUAGUGAGAAUGUUUCUUUCUCAAAGCGUUCAAAUUUUUGACGAGGGCACUGCAUUCAUAUUUUCAUUCUACAACUAUCACUGUUAAUAUCGUAUCGUCGUGAGAGAGCUAUACCAAUUUUGGAAUCAUUGAAGAUUUGCAGUUAUUUUUAAGGUAAGAAGAGGUUGUGUGGUUACCCAAGUUAUAUUAUUUUAAAUAAUAAGUUUAUCUUUAUUUAGUAAAGGAUAAAAAACCAUACAAUCC